AUAUAUUCCUAUAAAGUUUAACUUUUAUAUGUUAUUCCUGUAAAAGUACUGACGUUUUUAAAUAUGUCUCUACCGAUAAGAUCCGUUAGAAAAAAUUAGUUGCUCAUAAAUAAAAUACUUAACCCUAGUUAAUGAGGUGAAUUAAUUUUUUUAUCCUUCUUUAAUUAACAGUUGGAAUUUUUCGAGGGACGUAUUAUGGUGGCAAAAAGAUCAUUUCUCUUGUAAAAUAAACAAUGUUAACGGUAACAGACUAGAGGAAUAUAUUUGAAAAUAUUAGGACUUUUGUAGCGACAAUAUAUAAAAGUUAAACUUUGUAGGAAUAUAUUUACAGUUCACUAUGUUUAUAAAGACCUGUAUAAAAUUAACCCUAAAAAAAAGUAUAUUGGAAUUAGAAUUAUUAAGCACAAUUAACUGAACACAUUUCCAACACAAAGUCAUUAAAUUAGCAUAAUAGUGUUAAGACUAAUUCUGAACCAUUUUGUAUCAGAUCAAUUUUUUAGAUAAUACAGUAUCAGAAACAAUUGUCAGUGUAUAUAGUAUGAUUCACCUGAUAUCUAUCAUACACUUGAACAGUAAUGUUAAGACUAGUUCCGAAC
rnacentral:lncRNA from 1 species